UAGAAAGAACAGGGCUUCCCUCAGUAUCCCUGCAUUAAAACUUACGAGUUCCAUUUCGUUUAUGUUGUCAGAGUAAAUGUCCACGUCGGAAGGAAACUUUCUCAGAUUGCUCCCACAGAAUUCACACCUCACAUAAAACAUUUAGACUUGACUCUUCUGGACGGAUCAUCCAUUUUUCUGAAGAGAAAGAAAAGUUGUGACUGAGAACAAAGUUGUACAGUUUUUCUAGCUGAGAGCCUUGGGCCUAUCAUGCACUCACUGUUCACAUGCACCAAGUUCCUUCAUCACCUGGGAGAUACUCUCAAGGGAAACCUUUUUUUAAUUUUUAAAAUUAUUUAUUUGAUAGAGACAACCAGAAAUCAAGAGGAAGGGGGAGACAGGGAAAGAGACAGAGAGACACCUGCAGCCCUGCUUCUCCGCUCACGAAGCAUUCUUGAACCUGGGUUCUUGCACAUUAUAACAUGUGUGCUCAACCAGGUGUGCCACCAACUGGCCCCUGGGAAACCUUUUUUUAAAUUUUUUUUUUAUUCUUUAUUUAUUGGAUAGAGACAGCCAGAAAUUGAGAAAAAGGGAGAGACAGGGAAAGAGAGAGAGACACUUGAAACCCUGCUUCACCACUCUCAAAGCUUCCCCCCUAUAGGUGGGGACCGGGGGUUAGAACUCAGGUCUUUGCACGUUGUAACAUAUGCUGUAACAUGUGCAUCUAACCAGGUGCACCACUGCCCUGCCCCACAGGAACCUUUUUCUAGAGAGGGUGGGCACCAUCUGAGUUAAGGCUAGCUUCUUAAGGUUAGUCUGCCUUUGCCAGCAGAGGAGAUGAUUCCAAAAAUUGUUUACCUCUUGACUUAGGAACUGUGCCUUUAGAUUUGUACCCCUUUGCUUUAGGGGGUAUUUUCUUCUCUGUAAAAAGAGGAUAGAUUUGUGAUCAAUCUUGAUAAGUAGGAUAGAACCUUAUUAUAAAAGAAAAUAAGACUUUUGGAGAAAUAA